rnacentral:rRNA from 1 species
UACGGAGGGAGCUAGCGUUAUUCGGAAUUACUGGGCGUAAAGCGCACGUAGGCGGCUUUGUAAGUUAGAGGUGAAAGCCCGGAGCUCAACUCCGGAACUGCCCUUAAGACUGCAUCGCUUGAAUCCAGGAGAGGUGAGUGGAAUUCCGAGUGUAGAGGUGAAAUUCGUAGAUAUUCGGAAGAACACCAGUGGCGAAGGCGGCUCACUGGACUGGUAUUGACGCUGAGGUGCGAAAGCGUGGGGAGCAAACAGG